rnacentral:rRNA from 1 species
GACGAACGCUGGCGGCGUGCUUAACACAUGCAAGUCGAACGGAAAGGCCCUGCUUUUGUGGGGUGCUCGAGUGGCGAACGGGUGAGUAACACGUGAGUAACCUGCCCUUGACUUUGGGAUAACUUCAGGAAACUGGGGCUAAUACCGGAUAGGAGCUCCUGCUGCAUGGUGGGGGUUGGAAAGUUUCGGCGGUUGGGGAUGGACUCGCGGCUUAUCAGCUUGUUGGUGGGGUAGUGGCUUACCAAGGCUUUGACGGGUAGCCGGCCUGGGAGGGUGACCGGCCACAUUGGGACUGAGAGACGGCCCAGACGCCUACGGGAGGCAGAAGUGGGGAAUAUUGCACAAUGGGCGGAAGCCUGAUGCAGCAACGCCGCGUGCGGGAUGACGGCCUUCGGGUUGUAAACCGCUUUCGCCUGUGACGAAGCGUGAGUGACGGUAAUGGGUAAAGAAGCACCGGCUAACUACGUG